rnacentral:rRNA from 1 species
CAGUAGCCACGGUAAUACGUAGGUGGCAAGCGUUGUCCGGAAUUAUUGGGCGUAAAGGGCUCGCAGGCGGUUUCUUAAGUCUGAUGUGAAAGCCCCCGGCUCAACCGGGGAGGGUCAUUGGAAACUGGGGAACUUGAGUGCAGAAGAGGAGAGUGGAAUUCCACGUGCAGCGGUGAAAUGCGUAGAGAUGUGGAGGAACACCAGUGGCGAGGGCGACUCUCUGGUCUGUAACUGACGCUGAGGAGCGAAAGCGUGGGGAGCGAACAGGAUUAGAUACCCCCGUAGUCCCUGUCUCUUAUAC